rnacentral:rRNA from 1 species
UGUGAACAUACCUAUACGUUGCCUCGGCGGAUCAGCCCGCGCCCUGUAAAAAGGGACGGCCCGCCCGAGGACCCUAAACUCUGUUUUUAGUGGAACUUCUGAGUAAAACAAACAAAUAAAUCAAAACUUUCAACAACGGAUCUCUUGGUUCUGGCAUCGAUGAAGAACGCAGCAAAAUGCGAUAAGUAAUGUGAAUUGCAGAAUUCAGUGAAUCAUCGAAUCUUUGAACGCACAUUGCGCCCGCCAGUAUUCUGGCGGGCAUGCCUGUUCGAGCGUCAUUUCAACCCUCAAGCUCAGCUUGGUGUUGGGACUCGCGGUAACCCGCGUUCCCCAAAUCGAUUGGCGGUCACGUCGAGCUUCCAUAGCGUAGUAAUCAUACACCUCGUUACUGGUAAUCGUCGCGGCCACGCCGUAAAACCCCAACUUCUGAAUGUUGACCUCGGAUCAGGUAGGAAUACCCGCUGAACUUAAGCAUAUCAAUAAGCGGAGGAAAAGAAACCAACAGGGAUUGCCCUAGUAACGGCGAGUGAAGCGGCAACAGCUCAAAUUUGAAAUCUGGCUCUCGGGCCCGAGUUGUAAUUUGUAGAGGAUGCUUUUGAUGCGGUGCCUUCCGAGUUCCCUGGAACGGGACGCCGUAGAGGGUGAGAGCCCCGUCUGGUUGGAUGCCAAAUCUCUGUAAAGCUCCUUCGACGAGUCGAGUAGUUUGGGAAUGCUGCUCUAAAUGGGAGGUAUAUGUCUUCUAAAGCUAAAUACCGGCCAGAGACCGAUAGCGCACAAGUAGAGUGAUCGAAAGAUGAAAAGCACUUUGAAAAGAGAGUUAAAAAGUACGUGAAAUUGUUGAAAGGGAAGCGUUUAUGACCAGACUUGGGCUUGGUUAAUCAUCUGGGGUUCUCCCCAGUGCACUUUUCCAGUCCAGGCCAGCAUCAGUUUUCGCCGGGGGAUAAAGGCUUCGGGAAUGUGGCUCUCUCCGGGGAGUGUUAUAGCCCGUUGCGUAAUACCCUGGCGGGGACUGAGGUUCGCG